GGCUUAUUGAUUUUAAUUUUAAGUCUAUCUGCCCAAUGAUUUAAUAAUUUAAUGGCUGCAGUAUAAUUGACUGUACAAAGGUAGCAUAAUCAAUUGUUUUUUAAUUAAAAACUGGAAUGAAAGAAUUAAUGAGAUAUAUACUGUCUCAUAUAUAUAUAAUAAAUUUAAAUUUUUAGUAAAAAUGCUAAAAUUUUUUUAUGGGACGAUAAGACCCUAUAGAAUUUUAUAUUUGUAUUUAGAUUAUAUAUAUUUUUAAAUGUAAAUAUUUAAUUGGGAGGAUUGUUAAAUUUAUAGAACUUUAUUUUAAAUAUAAACUUUAAUUUAAGAAUAAUUAAUGAUCUUGUAUUAUAAAUUAAAAGAAUAAAUUACCUUAGGGAUAACAGCGUAAUAUCUUUUUAAAGAUCAUAUUAAUAAAGAUGAUUGCGACCUCGAUGUUGAAUUAAGAUAAAUUUUAAAUGCAGAAGUUUAAUAAUUAAGUCUGUUCGACUUUUAAAAUCUU
rnacentral:rRNA from 1 species